rnacentral:rRNA from 1 species
GACGAACGCUGGCGGCGUGCUUAACACAUGCAAGUCGAACGAUGAACCACUUCGGUGGGGAUUAGUGGCGAACGGGUGAGUAACACGUGGGCAAUCUGCCCUUCAUUCUGGGACAAGCCCUGGAAACGGGGUCUAAUACCGGAUAUGAGCCUGGGAGGCAUCUCCCGGGUUGUAAAGCUCCGGCGGUGAAGGAUGAGCCCGCGGCCUAUCAGCUUGUUGGUGAGGUAAUGGCUCACCAAGGCGACGACGGGUAGCCGGCCUGAGAGGGCGACCGGCCACACUGGGACUGAGACACGGCCCAGACUCCUACGGGAGGCAGCAGUGGGGAAUAUUGCACAAUGGGCGAAAGCCUGAUGCAGCGACGCCGCGUGAGGGAUGACGGCCUUCGGGUUGUAAACCUCUUUCAGCAGGGAAGAAGCGAGAGUGACGGUACCUGCAGAAGAAGCGCCGGCUAACUACGUGCCAGCCGCCGCGGUAAUAC